UACGGAGGGUGCGAGCGUUGUCCGGAAUCAUUGGGCGUAAAGGGCGCGUAGGUGGCGGGACAAGCGUGCGGUGAAAGCUCGGGGCUCAACCCCGCGUCGGCCGUGCGAACUGUUUUGCUUGAGCACUGUAGAGGCAGGCGGAAUUCCGGGUGUAGCGGUGGAAUGCGUAGAGAUCCGGAAGAACACCGGUGGCGAAGGCGGCCUGCUGGGCAGUAGCUGACGCUGAGGCGCGACAGCGUGGGGAGCAAACAGG
rnacentral:rRNA from 1 species